CCCUUAGAUGUUCUGGGCCGCACGCGUGCUACACUGAGUGGAUCAGCGGGUCAGGUUGCGCGAAAGUGUUUCCUAAUCUUGAAAUCCGCUCGUGAUGGGGAUUGACGGUUGCAAUUUUCCGUCAUGAACGAGGAAUACCUUGUAAGCGCGGGUCAUCAUCCCGCGCUGAAUACGUCCCUGCCCUUUGUACACACCGCCCGUCGCUCCUACCGAUUGAGUGGUCCGGUGAGGCUUUGGGAUCUGAGCAAAGAGAGCGUUUCGCUCGUUUUGCCCGGAAAACUCAGUCGAACCUUAUCAUUUAGAGGAAGGAGAAGGCGGAACA
rnacentral:rRNA from 1 species